CAUAUCUUUUUCUUUCGGGCUCCAUUUUGUUAUGGAGAGAUGUGUGGGGUUUUUUUGUCUUUGCGAGAGUAAUUUCGUGGGUUUUUUUGUUUUGUUUUUUUGGUGGCGACUCAUUCCGUUGGCAGAUGCGGACGCGGUACCUUUUAAAGACAGUUUGGUGCGUUGGCAAUGAGCGAUACAGCAGCUGUAUCGAUCACGUGACUUUUUCUUAAAGCGAUGCACGCACCGAUACAGGCUUCGCUCUGUGAGCUUGAUACAUGCGCCGGUGCGUCAGUGUUGCUGGACCCAUCACUAGUCACAACUAAAUUUAGAGGGAAGGAUUCAGAUAUUAGUCUAGGUGAAUGGAAAAGUAAUUUGCAGACAACAUUUGCUUUGCAAGGAGUUCCUGUAGAUUUUAGAGCAGAAUUAACACUGUUGCUUAGAAGGCAAGGCUAAAAGAGAGAUUUUAAUUCUACCACCAGAGAAGCGUAAUUCACCUGAGCUAAUUUUUAAUGAGUUAGAUAAGUUGUAUGGGAAUAAAACAACUGCUUCGGUCCUGCGCUCUCAGUUCUUCAAUGCUCGUCAAGAAACACAUGAAGACAUCAGUUCAUUUGCACUGAGAUUACAAGAACAUUUUCUCAGGUUAAAGAGGAAGGACCCUAGAGGUAUGAAUGAUGAAGAUAUUCUUCUCAGAGAUCAUCUGGUUGAAGGCUUGAGAGACACUGCCCUUAGAGGUGAAUUCAGAACAAAAAUUCUAAUGAAUGAUCAGUUGACAUUUGCAGAAAUUAAAGCAGAACUAAUCCUGAGUGAACAUGUUUAUGGUGAAAUGGUUGAGCCAGUCCAUUGUUUUGCUGCCAAAGGGGAAAGAUACAAGACCUGUAAUGUUAAGGAUAUGGAACAGAUCAAGUCAGAGUUGUGGGAUGACAUGAACAAGCAAAUGACCACCCAAUUCAAUGAUUUAUCACAGACUUUGAUCAAAGAAAUCCGAUCAGAACUUCAUCAGGCUACAAAAAAGACUGUGGACUGGAAACAGACUGACCAGUACAGGUCAAGAAAGAAAGGAGGGAGCAGACCCAGAGUCCACUCAAACAGGUAUGAUGAACAAGGUAGCCCCAUCUGUAACACUUGUUCCCAGCCGGGCCACAUAGCAUGGUUCUGUAAAAGCAAGCCUAGAUCUGGAUCGUUAAACUAGACGACACCACUGUGGUGGCCCAGACAGUGGGUUGUGUCGAUGCCAAUGGGCCUCAAACUGAUGUGAAAAAACUAAUUGGAAAAGUUCCUAAAGUCAGCUUGUGUCUUGAUGAUGUCCCAAUACAGUGUAUUCUUGAUACUGGAUCAAAUGUGUAACUGAUAAAGAACAGCUAUUUCUCUAAACACUUUGGCAGUAAUGGUAUGAACUUGAAGGAUGCAAGCAGCUGGCUGGCGCUCAAGGCUGCUAAUGGACUAGAUAUUCCAUACCUGGGCUAUGUAUUGCUACAUGUGAAGGUUGGACAGGUGGAACUCCCUGAAUGUGGCUUUUUGGUGAUUAAGGACCAAUGUUUAACCGACAGUGAAGGCGUCCUGGGUAUGAAUGUUAUUUCACAGUGCUACGAAAAAAUGGAUCAGGAGAAGCCAUUAGCCCACCUCUCCUCUAGUGGGGCCGAACAGAGAGUUUGGACUACUGCUUUUCAGAUUUGUGCCAGUCAGGCACAGUUUGCAGCUUCAGAUGGGUCCAUUGGGUAUGUAUGUACCGUAAAUCGCCAUCCUAUACAGAUUCCUCCUCGGAGUGAGAUGUUGGUUUGGGGUCGUACGAAGACUGGAGUGGACGGCAGGGAUUAUCAAUGCCUGGUGGAACCUGUCGAGGUGGGUCAAGUCUUAAUUGCUAGAACAUUAUCUACAGUCCAUGAUGGGAGGCUUUUGAUUAGGGUUCAAAACCUUAAUGACUCACCAAUGUACCUUUACAGACAUCAGAAGUUGGCUAAGACUUUUAUUAUUGAUCCAGCAGAUAUCAUACAAGAGAAUAGUGUGAACAUGACUUGUGUUGGUGUAAACACAGAGUGAGUAUGGACCAAACGCAAGCCCUGCCCAAGGAGAAAUGCAUGUUCCCUGAUUUAACUGGUCUUCAUUUGUCCACAGAGGAAUUGGAGAAACUGCAGGCUUUAUUGCAUAAGCACCAAGCAGUGUUCGCUGUGCAUGAGGAAGAUUAUGGAUUGACAAGCACCAUGCAGCAUUCAAUUCCUACGGGCAAUGCUGCACCAGUCCGUGAGUGCUAUAGACAAAUUCCACCAAAGUUAUAUCAGGAGAUGAAGAGAGGCGAAACUGGCGAGAUCACCUGCCUGAGAUGAUCCAGGCAUGGAUUUCUUCCCCAGGAUCGGCUGAUGGGCCUUACUGAAAAUGUGGGCUGCUCUUCUGUGAGCAACUGGGUGCAAUGCCAUCAGAGACGGCUGCAGUAUGCCUUCCAAAAAGCUCAGGACCAGAGACUCUGAAAUGUCCCGGCAAAAGAAAUAUUAUGACCUGAAAACGGAUGCUCUUCCAUCGCUGCCUGGAGAGAGUAUUGCUACAGGACUUGAGAGCAAGGGGCCGAGUUUCCCAGCAUGCCCUGGCUCCAUUGGUGGAGGUGUAUGAGGGGGAAACAUCUGUCCUGUUGGCUUGCGAGUACUCAGGUUUUAUACCUGAAAACCCCACAGUGCUGUGGACUCGCAGUGAUCUCAACCCCAAAUCUGUCCACCUACGACGAGAGGAAACGGAUGAUCUGAAAGGGCAACACCAGCGUUACAGCAGGCGCACAUCAAUGAGGCCUGAUGCUCUGGACACGUUAGACUUCAGCCUCACUCUGAGAAACCCCCAAAUGACUGAUAGCGGCAACUACACCUGCUCCAUCGGCAAUGAAAGAGAUGAAUUGAAACUGACAGACAUACAGCUGCAUGUCAAAGACCAAGAACUUAAGUUGGAGGUUGUUGAAGGAUCAGAGUCUGUCAUCCUGCCAUGCAAAACAAUACCUGACCUGCCUGAGGACACCACAGUGGAGUGGGCGAGAUUUGACAGAGAAAUCAUGAUGGUCCAUGAGUAUUCAAAUGGAACUGACCAACUUAAGAACCAGGACGACCGUUACUGUGAUCGCACAAAGAUGAACAAAGACCUGCUGAGAACUGGAGACCUCAGUCUGACACUGAUAUACCCCACAGAGAGAGACAGUGGAGGAUACAUCUGCACCAUCUACAGGGACAAAGACAUCCAGAAGCAGAAAGUAGUGCUGCAGGUCAAAGAACAGUUUCCAUCCUGGGCCAAACCUCUCCUGGUUCUCCUGGUUCUUCUUGUGGUUUCUGGAGGUCUUUUAUUUUAUUUCCGGCACUAUUUGAUGUCAGUCCCCUGGGUGGAGGUGGAUUCAGGGGUGGAGUCUGUCCUGCUGAUCUGCAAAGCCACAGUUUGGCUGCCUAAAGAUGCUAAAGUGGAGUGGAAGGACAACAACGACAGGAAGGUCCACAUAUAUGAGAACGGCUCUGACCAGCCUGAAGAACAGGACGAUAAAUACAAGAACCGAACAAAGAUGAAGAGAAACUUACUGGAACCUGGAGACCUCAGUCUGACCCUGAAAUACCCCACAGAUGGAGACAACUCCACCUACACCUGCACCGUCUACAGAGGGGAGGAAAACAUCCUGAUGGAGAAACAAGUGGAGCUGAAAGUCAGAGUCUGUCAGGUGGAGGCGGAGGAGGGGGCGGAGUCUGUCCAGCUGCCCUUCAGAACCACACAAAACCUGCCUGGAGAUGCUGAAGUGGAGUGGGUACGCUAUGAACCUGAAUACAGGAAGGUCCACGUGUAUAAAAACGGCUCUGACCAGCCUGAAGAACAGGACCAGCAUUACAGAGACCGAACGAAGAUGAAUGAAGACCUGCUGAAAACUGGAGACCUCAGUCUGACCCUGAAACACCCCACAGAGAGAGACAGUGGGAAAUAUGAAUGUGAAGUGAGGAGGAACGGACGGAUUAGAUUCAAAAAAGUGCUGCUCAAAGUCAAAGUUUCCCAGCAUGCCCUGGCUGUGGUGGUGGAGGUGUAUGAGGGGGAAACAUCUGUCCUGUUGCCGUGCCAGGACACAGAUGUUACACUUAAGAACCGCACAGUGCUGUGGAAACCGAUGAUGUAACAGGACAAAACCAGCGUUACAGAGGGCGCACAUCAACGAGGCCUGAUGCUCUGGACACUUUAGACUUCAGCCUCACUCUGAAAAACCCCCAACCAACAGACAGCGGCAUCUACACCUGCUCCAUCCUAAAUGAAAGGGAGGAACUAAAACUGACAGACAUACAGCUGCAUGUCAAAGAUCAGCAGGUGGAGGUGAA